rnacentral:rRNA from 1 species
GACGAACGCUGGCGGCGUGCUUAACACAUGCAAGUCGAACGGUGAAGCGCCUUCCUUUUUGGUGGGUGUGGAUGAGUGGCGAACGGGUGAGUAACACGUGAGUAACCUGCCCCCUUCUUCUGGAUAACCGCAUGAAAGUGUGGCUAAUACGGGAUAUUCUGGGUCUGUCGCAUGGUGGGUCUGGGAAAGAUAUUGUUUCGGUGGGGGAUGGGCUCGCGGCCUAUCAGCUUGUUGGUGGGGUGAUGGCCUACCAAGGCGGUGACGGGUAGCCGGCCUGAGAGGGUGGACGGUCACACUGGGACUGAGACACGGCCCAGACUCCUACGGGAGGCAGCAGUGGGGAAUAUUGCACAAUGGGCGCAAGCCUGAUGCAGCGACGCCGCGUGAGGGAUGGAGGCCUUCGGGUUGUGAACCUCUUUCGCCAGUGAAGCAGGCCUGCCUCGUUUGUGGGUGGGUUGACGGUAGCUGGAUAAGAAGCGCCGGCUAACUACGUG